AGAGGAGGCGAUUGAAGCAGCUGGUGAAGAAGGGACAGCUGUGGAAGUUCGCUGAGGUCCUGCUGGCACAGGACGAGAGCCGAGCGGCCGAGCAGCUGCGCCGGGCAUUGCCAUAUCUGGAUAGCCCGCAGGAGCCCCUGCGAGAGGCGGCCGUCAAGUUCAUCGGGAUCGCAGGGCGGUACUUGAGGAAGCAACAGGAAGAGACCCAGCUCAUCUACAAGGCCCUUCAGGACCUGACCGAUGACAUCAGCCC